AUCUAUUUCUCUUGCCCACGAUCGGGCGUUGGCCAAGCACCAUAACGAAAAGAAGGAGGGGCCACCGCCCACGUGGGAGUCGACUUGGGCGGCAACCCACAGACUACAACCUCCGGAAGUUGCGUCCCGUCUGGAAGCUGCGCAGGAGAGACAUUCACAGGAUCCUGCACCGACACCUCCAACCCAGUUGUUCCCGGAAGCGUUUGGAUCGCGAUCGGGACAUCAGCGCGGACUAGGGAGGAUUCUCAGGGGUUUCGGAUCCCAUGAUUUCCCUGUUGAGUUGCCGCAACCACAUUAUGGA